rnacentral:lncRNA from 1 species
AUGAGGGAAGUGAAUAUGUGUGGGAUGGAGAUGAUAGUGCUGCUCUGUCCCCUAAGCCUAACUUCUGUGGAAGGGGGUAAAGGCAGGCGAGUUUGGGUAACAGGGUUUCUACGUUCAGGGAGACAGGAAAGGGAGCUAAGAGACCCUGGGUGGAGAAAGCGAGCUAGCGAGCGCGAUUCCUUCGCGCACUGUCUGAAGGAGCUGCAGCCGCUAGAAGUCGUCCAUCAGCAACCAGUCCAACCUGCCAGUGAUAAUGUGCGAUCAACACCAAAUCACCCCCGCCAGGCACGAUCCAUCAUUCCUGCAAAGCAACGGGCUGACGAAUGUCUCUGCAGGAAGUCUCAGCACGGAAACCAAGGACUACAAAGACAGAAGUCUACCCUUUUACACUGGGCUGCUGUUAUUGCUUUCGGCUGCUUUGUGCUUUCCCUGGAGGGAGAGGAGAAUCAGGCAAUUAUUUGACUUCUGUGCCCUGCAGAUGAAGGGCCUAGAUUUUAUGUCCCAAUAAAAAAAGACUGCUAUAAAAAAAAAAGGUGAAU